CCUACGGGAGGCAGCAGUGGGGAAUUUUGGACAAUGGGGGCAACCCUGAUCCAGCCAUGCCGCGUGAGUGAAGAAGGCCUUCGGGUUGUAAAGCUCUUUCGGCCGGGAAGAAAUCGCACAGGCUAAUACCCUGUGUGGAUGACGGUACCGGCAUAAGAAGCACCGGCUAACUACGUGCCAGCAGCCGCGGUAAUACGUAGGGUGCGAGCGUUAAUCGGAAUUACUGGGCGUAAAGCGUGCGCAGGCGGUUAGAUAAGUUUGAUGUGAAAUCCCCGGGCUCAACCUGGGAACUGCAUUGAAGACUGUCUGACUAGAGUACGGCAGAGGGGGGUGGAAUUCCACGUGUAGCAGUGAAAUGCGUAGAGAUGUGGAGGAGCACCGAUGGCGAAGGCAGCCCCCUGGGCCGAUACUGACGCUCAUGCACGAAAGCGUGGGGAGCAAACAGGAUUAGAUACCCUGGUAGUCCACGCCCUAAACGAUGUCAACUAGUUGUUGGUAGGGUUAAACCUAUUAGUAACGUAGCUAACGCGUGAAGUUGACCGCCUGGGGAGUACGGUCGCAAGAUUAAAACUCAAAGGAAUUGACGG
rnacentral:rRNA from 1 species